GUUGCCUUCCAAGGUGCCACAGGCUAAUUAACCAAGAAAGUUUUUGACCCACAGACCUUUGAGGUCGGGGUGUUCUCAUAUUUCAGGUCCAGAUUAUAGUAGGCCUGGGGAGAACAGUGAACCCCAGAGUGGCUAUGAGGAGCCCAAAUGCAGGUCCCUCUGGGAUUCACUUGCAAGAAUGAGACACAAAAGCUGAAGACUAUCCCCGAGCGUCAGACCUUCCCAGGUCUUGGGACACACAAUGGCAUUCAAUCAGACCCUCAGCUCCGGAAGAAAACACACCGUGUUAACACCUUUAUUGCGGGCCGAGCUGUAUUUGAGAUAUUAAAAGACAUCCUGUUUCUGCCCCCA